rnacentral:rRNA from 1 species
UACGAAGGGAGCUAGCGUUGUUCGGAAUCACUGGGCGUAAAGCGCACGUAGGCGGAUGUGUCAGUCAGGGGUGAAAUCCCGGAGCUCAACUUCGGAACUGCCUUUGAUACAGCACGUCUUGAGUCCGAUAGAGGUGGGUGGAAUUCCUAGUGUAGAGGUGAAAUUCGUAGAUAUUAGGAAGAACACCGGGUGGCGAAGGCG